rfam:Macaca mulatta chromosome 13, whole genome shotgun sequence.
UGGACCCGGCGCCUUGCCCCCAGAUCUGCAUCGGAAUGCAGAAAAGAUCUUUUUAAAAAAAAAAAAAAAAGUUUUGAAUUCCUCAAUGAUUUUUCUUCUGGAAAGGCAGCUUAGGAUAAUUAUUUCAGCUUUAUUGAGGGCAGAUUAGUUGAAGUCUGGGCGCUGCGUUUCAAUACGCGUUGUACACGGGCCGACAAUGUGG